GAGUUUGAUCCUGGCUCAGAUUGAACGCUGGCGGCAGGCCUAACACAUGCAAGUCGAGCGGCAGCGGGAAAGUAGCUUGCUACUUUUGCCGGCGAGCGGCGGACGGGUGAGUAAUGCCUGGGGAUCUGCCCAGUCGAGGGGGAUAACUACUGGAAACGGUAGCUAAUACCGCAUACGCCCUACGGGGGAAAGCAGGGGACCUUCGGGCCUUGCGCGAUUGGAUGAACCCAGGUGGGAUUAGCUAGUUGGUGAGGUAAUGGCUCACCAAGGCGACGAUCCCUAGCUGGUCUGAGAGGAUGAUCAGCCACACUGGAACUGAGACACGGUCCAGACUCCUACGGGAGGCAGCAGUGGGGAAUAUUGCACAAUGGGGGAAACCCUGAUGCAGCCAUGCCGCGUGUGUGAAGAAGGCCUUCGGGUUGUAAAGCACUUUCAGCGAGGAGGAAAGGUUGGUAGCUAAUAACUGCCAGCUGUGACGUUACUCGCAGAAGAAGCACCGGCUAACUCCGUGCCAGCAGCCGCGGUAA
rnacentral:rRNA from 1 species